GGCCCAGAUCGUUUACCGUGAAAAAAAUUAGAGUGUUCAAAGCAGGCAGAUCCAAUUUUCUGCCACCGAAUACAUUAGCAUGGGAUAAUGGAAUAGGACCCUGUCCUCCUAUUUUCAGUUGGUUUUGGCAGCGCGAGGACUAGGGUAAUGAUUAAUAGGGAUAGUUGGGGGCAUUAAUAUUUAAUUGUCAGAGGUGAAAUUCUUGGAUUUAUGAAAGAUUAACUUCUGCGAAAGCAUCUGCCAAGGAUGUUUUCAUUAAUCAAGAACGAAAGUUAGGGGAUCGAAGACGAUCAGAUACCGUCGUAGUCUUAACCAUAAACGAUGCCGACCAGCGAUUAGGAGACGUUGAAUACAAAACACCACCAUCGGCGCGGCCGUCCUUGGCCGUGCGUCUCGUUUCGGCGAGGCGUUUGGCGGGGGCGGCUUAGCCCGGUGGCACCGGUGAAUGACUCCCCUAGCAGCUUGUGAGA
rnacentral:rRNA from 1 species